rnacentral:rRNA from 1 species
GAUGAACGCUGGCGGCGUGCCUAAUACAUGCAAGUCGAGCGAACGGACGAGAAGAUUGCUUCUCUGAUGUUAGCGGCGGACGGGUGAGUAACACGUGGAUAACCUACCUAUAAGACUGGGAUAACUUCGGGAAACCGGAGCUAAUACCGGAUGAUAUUUUGAACCGCAUGGUUCAAAAGUGAAAGACGGUCUUGCUGUCACUUAUAGAUGGAUCCGCGCUGCAUUAGCUAGUUGGUAAGGUAACGGCUUACCAAGGCAACGAUGCAUAGCCGACCUGAGAGGGUGAUCGGCCACACUGGAACUGAGACACGGUCCAGACUCCUACGGGAGGCAGCAGUAGGGAAUCUUCCGCAAUGGGCGAAAGCCUGACGGAGCAACGCCGCGUGAGUGAUGAAGGUCUUCGGAUCGUAAAACUCUGUUAUUCGGGAAGAACAUAUGUGUAAGUAAAUGUGCACAUCUUGACGGUACCUAAUCAGAAAGCCACGGCUAACUACGUG